AUGGCUCAGAACGAACGCUGGCGGCAUGCCUAAUACAUGCAAGUCGAACGGAGAUAGCAAUAUCUUAGUGGCGAACGGGUGCGUAACACGUGAGCAACCUGCCUUAUACAUCGGAAUAACAGCUGGAAACGGCUGCUAAUACCGGAUAAGACCACACCAAGGCAUCUUGGAGAGGUCAAAGCGAAUUAGCGGUAUAAGAUGGGCUCGCGUCCAAUUAGCUAGUUGGUGGGGUAACGGCCCACCAAGACAACGAUUGGUAGCCGACUUGAGAGAGUGAUCGGCCACACUGGAACUGAGACACGGUCCAGACUCCUACGGGAGGCAGCAGUAGGGAAUAUUGGGCAAUGGAGGAAACUCCUUACCCAGCAAUGCCGCGUGAAUGAUGAAGGUCUUAUGGAUUGUAAAGUUCUUUAAUUGGGGACGAAAGAAAUGACGGUACCCAAAGAAUAAGCCCCGGCUAACUAUGUGCCAGCAGCCGC
rnacentral:rRNA from 1 species